AGAGUUUGAUUCUGGCUCAGGAUGAACGCUGGCGGCGUGCUUAACACAUGCAAGUCGAACGAAGCGCUUUAUUUGAUUUCUUCGGAAUGAAGAUUUUGCGACUGAGUGGCGGACGGGUGAGUAACGCGUGGGUAACCUGCCUUGUACAGGGGGAUAACAGUUGGAAACGACUGCUAAUACCGCAUAAGCGCACAGGACCGCAUGGUCUGGUGUGAAAAACUCCGGUGGUAUAAGAUGGACCCGCGUCUGAUUAGCUAGUUGGUGGGGUAACGGCCUACCAAGGCGACGAUCAGUAGCCGACCUGAGAGGGUGACCGGCCACAUUGGGACUGAGACACGGCCCAA
rnacentral:rRNA from 1 species